UACGUAGGCAGCAAGCGUUGUUCGGAGUUACUGGGCGUAAAGGGUGUGUAGGCGGUUGCUUAAGUUUGGUGUGAAAUCUCCCGGCUCAACUGGGAGGGUGCGCCGAAUACUGAGUGACUAGAGUGCGGGAGAGGAAAGUGGAAUUCCUGGUGUAGAGGUGGAAUUCGUAGAUAUCAGGAGGAACACCGGUGGUGUAGACGGCUUUCUGGACCGUAACUGACGCUGAGACACGAAAGCGUGGGUAGCAAACAGG
rnacentral:rRNA from 1 species